GUGCUUGCUUCAGCAGCACAUAUACUAAAAACCUGGAACAAUUCAGAGAAGAUUAGCAUGGGCUGUAUGCAAGGAUGAUGUGCAAAUUUGUGAAGUAUUAAAAACAAAA
ensembl:snRNA U6 U6 spliceosomal RNA